GACGUAGGGUGCGAGCGUUGUCCGGAUUUAUUGGGCGUAAAGAGCUCGUAGGCGGCUCGUCGCGUCAGCUGUGAAAACCCGCGGCUUAACCGUGGGCUUGCAGCUGAUACGGGCGGGCUAGAGUUCGGUAGGGGAGACUGGAAUUCCUGGUGUAGCGGUGAAAUGCGCAGAUAUCAGGAGGAACACCGGUGGCGAAGGCGGUUCUCUGGGCAUUACCUGACGCUGAGGAGCGAAAGUGUGGGGAGCGAACAGG
rnacentral:rRNA from 1 species